rnacentral:tRNA from 1 species
AGCCUUGGGGUAUUAUACGUCAAAAUGCAAUUUUGAAGAAGGACCCAAACAGGUCCCGGGGCUU